UACGUAGGCAGCGAGCGUUGUUCGGAGUUACUGGGCGUAAAGAGUGCGUAGGCGGUUUUCUAAGUUUGGUGUGAAAUCUCCCGGCUUAACUGGGAGGGUGCGCCGAAGACUGGAAGGCUUGAGUAUGGGAGAGGUAAGCGGAAUUCCUGGUGUAGCGGUGAAAUGCGUAGAGUAUCAGGAGGAACACCUGCGGUGUAGACGGCUUACUGGACCAUAACUGACGCUGAGGCACGAAAGCGUGGGUAGCAAACAGG
rnacentral:rRNA from 1 species